GGGCUUCGGUCCUGGGGACAGCGGCGAACGGGUGAGUAACACGUGGGUAAUCCACCCUCGGCACCGGAAUAGCCCGGGGAAACCCGGAUUAAUGCCGGAUGGCCCGCCGGCCCCGAGGGGCUGGCGGAAAAGGUAGCUUCGGCCUCCGGCCGAGGACGAGCCCGCGACGGAUUAGCUUGUUGGUGGGGUAACGGCCUACCAAGGCUGCGAUCCGUAGCUGGUCUGAGAGGACGAUCAGCCACACUGGGACUGAGACACGGCCCAGACUCCUACGGGAGGCAGCAGUGGGGAAUCUUGCGCAAUGGGCGAAAGCCUGACGCAGCGACGCCGCGUGGGGGAAGAAGGCCUUCGGGUUGUAAACCUCUUUCAGGAGGGACGAAGCCACUCGGGUUAAUAGCCCAGAGGGUGACGGUACCUCCAGAAGAAGCCCCGGCUAACUACGUGCCAGCAGCCGCGGUAAUACGUAGGGGGCAAGCGUUGUCCGGAUUUAUUGGGCGUAAAGAGCGUGUAGGCGGCCGCGUAGGUCUGCUGUGAAAACUCGAGGCUUAACCUCGAGCUGUCGGCGGAAACCAUGUGGCUAGAGUCCGGAAGAGGAGAAUGGAAUUCCCGGUGUAGCGGUGAAAUGCGCAGAUAUCGGGAAGAACACCCGUGGCGAAGGCGGUUCUCUGGGACGGUACUGACGCUGAGACGCGAAAGCGUGGGGAGCGAACAGGAUUAGAUACCCUGGUAGUCCACGCCGUAAACGAUGAGUGCUAGGUGUGGGGGGGUGUCGACUCCCUCCGUGCAGCAGCUAACGCAUUUAA
rnacentral:rRNA from 1 species